UACGGGGGGAGCAAGCGCUGUUCGGAUUUACUGGGCGUAAAGGGCGCUUAGGCUGCGUGACAAGUCACUUGUGAAAUCUCCGGGCUUAACCCGGAGCGGCCAAGUGAUACUGUCGUGCUAGAGUGCGGAAGGGGCUACUGGAAUUCUCGGUGUAGCGGUGAAAUGCGUAGAUAUCGAGAGGAACACCUGCGGCGAAGGCGGGUAGCUGGGCCGACACUGACGCUGAGGUGCGAAAGCGUGGGGAGCAAACAGG
rnacentral:rRNA from 1 species